rnacentral:rRNA from 1 species
CCUACGGGAGGCUGCAGUGAGGAAUAUUGGUCAAUGGCCGUAAGGCUGAACCAGCCAAGUAGCGUGAAGGAAGAAGGAUCUAUGGUUUGUAAACUUCGUUUAUAGGGGAAUAAAGGUAUCCACGUGUGGAUAUUUGUAUGUACCUUAUGAAUAAGCAUCUGCUAACUCCGUGCCAGCAGCCGCGGUAAUACGGAGGAUGCGAGCGUUAUCCGGAUUUAUUGGGUUUAAAGGGUGCGUAGGUUGGUUUUUAAGUCAGCGGUGAAAGUUUGUGGCUCAACCAUAAAAUUGCCGUUGAAACUGGAGGACUGGAGUGUGUUUGAGGUAGGCGGAAUGCGUGGUGUAGCGGUGAAAUGCAUAGAUAUCACGCAGAACUCCGAUUGCGAAGGCAGCUUACUAAGCCAUGACUGACGCUGAAGCACGAAAGCGUGGGGAUCAAACAGGAUUAGAUACCCGGGUAGUC